rnacentral:lncRNA from 1 species
GAACUUCCAAAUUUUCCCUUUAACCGUUAGAAUAAACGGUCAAAAUAACGGAUUUGGGUGUGGAGUGAGCAUUGUUGAAACAUUUGGGGGCAGGACGGAAAAUGUUGAAACAUUUGGGGGCAGGACGGAAAAUGUUGAAACAUUUGGGGGCAGGACGGAAAAUGUUGAAACAUUUGGGGGCAGGACGGAAAAUGUUGAAACAUUUGGGGGCAGGACGGAAAAUGUUGAAACAUUUGGGGGCAGGACGGAAAAUGUUGAAACAUUUGGGGGCAGGACGGAAAAUGUUGAAACAUUUGGGGGCAGGACGGAAAAUGUUGAAACAUUUGGGGGCAGGACGGAAAAUGUUGAAACAUUUGGGGGCAGGACGGAAAAUGUUGAAACAUUUGGGGGCAGGACGGAAAAUGUUGAAACAUUUGGGGGCAGGACGGAAAAUGUUGAAACAUUUGGGGGCAGGACGGAAAAUGUUGAAACAUUUGGGGGCAGGACGGAAUUAACCCAAAAAGAAAAUUCAAAAGUGGGUCUCACAGGAUAUUAGCUCAAGCAAGAAAUCACAUAAGCUAAAGCAGUGGCAUUUAACAGCAAAUUUUUGAAAUACUCUAGUUAAUAAUGUACCUGCAGCAGGGAUUUCAGGGUUUCAAAAGUAUACUGUAAUGUUUAAAGUAUGUAGACCAGCAGAGAUUUUCUGGGUUUCAAAAAUAUACUGUAAUGUAUAAAGUAUGUAGACCUGAAAUCCACCCAGAUUAUUUUACCACAAUUACCAACAACAGAACCGUACAUCAGAUGCUAUUUAUCCGGACAAAAAAGCACUCAACUUAAUUUGUUAACACCAAAGCAUGAAAUCACGAGUCACAAAAGGUUUUCCUUUUUAAAAUACCGUACACUUUUUUUCCCCGCCUUUGGGAAUUAACCCCAGGCCACGCUAUUCAAUUAUACGGGAAAAAU